rnacentral:rRNA from 1 species
UACGUAGGGUGCGAGCGUUAAUCGGAAUUACUGGGCGUAAAGCGUGCGCAGGCGGUUUUGUAAGCCAGAUGUGAAAUCCCCGGGCUCAACCUGGGAAUGGCAUUUGGGACUGCAAGGCUGGAGUUUGGCAGAGGAGACUGGAAUUCCUGGUGUAGCAGUGAAAUGCGUAGAUAUCAGGAGGAAUACCGAUGGCGAAGGCAGGUCUCUGGGCUAUAACUGACGCUCAUGCACGAAAGCGUGGGGAGCAAAUAGG